rnacentral:sRNA from 1 species
UGGUCAGGCCCCCCCAACAUUGGGAAGGA